AAGGCACAUCUAUACAAUCCAAAAACAGCAUUGACUAUGAAUUCAAGGGUAAAAUCGUCUAUCGCCCUUUACAAGAUGGAGAUAUUGUCCUUGUGAAUUGUCAGCCUACACUUCACAAGCCUAGUAUUAUGGAAUAUGUAGUUCGAGUAUUAAAAGGGGAGAAAACUCCUUGUAUGCAUUAUGCAAAUUGCAGUUCCUACAAUGCUAUUGAUUAUGCUGAUGUGCUGAAGGUUAUUGAUCAUAACAUAUUUAUGUAAAAAAUCAAUACACCGAUGAUGAUCAGAAUACCAAUUUGGAUACAUCUAUGAGCAAUCAGUAGUGUCUUCAAUAUCAUGACUACUAAACAUCUAGAUCUAAUUGUUCUUAAUUAGUAACAACAAAACAUCUAUUAAAAAGGGAAGUAAGCAGAGGGAUAAGCCUAUACCAACAACAUGACUACUCCACUGUGUCGGGCUUAAAACCAAGUCUGAUCCAACAAAAGGAAGCACACUAGAGUCUUUUCUAGCAUUAUAAUUGAGCUAGGUCUCUAUCCAAGCAUAGAGAUUGUCACCUUAAUUUGGUA